GUGUGUGUGUGUGUGUGUGUGUGUGUGUGCGUGGAUUUUUCUAGGAGUGUAGAGAGAAAGUGUUCGAUGUGAUGCUAACACUACCAUCGAGUGGCGAUCCCUGCUCUGUGCUGUUUUAGGGAAACUCGUUCCUGAUUGGUUAAGGCUGCAGAAAGGGGGCGGGGUUAACACUCCAAAAUAAAAUUGCCACCGCCUGUUAGAAUUCCUAAGAAUUUAGUGUUUGUUGCCGUCUGCCUUUCUAUUUCACAGCCCUAUGAAGCAUCUAGCUGGUGGGUGUGGCUUGUUAGGCUUUUUAAGUUCUAACUCGCGCUGUAUGAAGAAUUCUGUGUCAAAGCUAAUUUACAUAUAAUUUGGGUUUGGGGGAGGGUCAAUCAAUUCGACGUAAAAAAUUUUGCCACAUCAUCGUUGCAGCUAAACACUUCACACGAGAGGGUUAUUACAUCAUCAACUGUGACAGCCAAUCAGGUUCCAGUAUGCAAAUAAGGCCGUGCAGGGGGCGGGCUGUGUACGGUCGGGGGCGGAUGCUUUGUUUUCUUCGCGUAUUCUUUUUGUGGAAUCAGGAUUUUUUUUGAUGAGGGAAAAAGUAUUGGCGCCUUCCAAGCUUGUACGAAAAAACGCGCGAUGUUAUCGAACGUCCUGCGGAAACAUCGCUAGCGGGUCUGAACGUCAGUGACCGCAUCUCAGAAACAAACAAACAAAAAGGACAAUAAUAUUAAGAUUGAGUAGGGUUUUCCUUCAUCCACUGUGCAGAUUAGGAGAUGAUGGGCUUUUCACCGAGAUACAACUAGAGAUCUCUCAAACGGCUAAUCGGGGAAUUUAUCGUAUUGUUUUGGAUCUUGCGUGUUAAGUUCUAACACCGCUGCUGGUCUCGGACUUUCGGACCCGAAUGCAUGCUCGUAUUUCCGUUCUAUAAACCGCGGCUGAACUGUCUUCUGUACAGCAUCUCAACAAAACAAAAACCCUGCCGGUCUGAAAUCAAACCUGUCUGAUGUUUAUCCAUGUGGAGAUGGAUGCUGCGCUAAAUCAGACACAGCUUCUGAUCUCCAGGCGUUUGGAGCGUAAGUUUGUCAUUUCCGUGCCGUCACGCGCUGACAUCUGCGUAGAUCACAGCUGGAUACACAUCUGACACGUUCGCCUCUCUGCUUUCAGCCUGACACGCCUCGGCAUCGGCACGACGACAGGAAAGAGACGAGACGUUGCUCUGAAUCUCUGACUCGGCAUACAGACACGCAGAUGCCGCCGAGCUAAAUCUGCUCAGAUCACGUGGGGUUCCGGAUGAUGAUUGGUCGUCAGGUGUUGAUUAUUAAUGAAGAAUUUUCUGACAGCUGGAAAUCAGGGCUUUACGUUAACGCGCUCGUUCUAACACGUUUCUAUAGUAACAGGGACUCGUACAUAAACGCUGUUUAAAUAAACGUCGAUAAGAAGACGUAAGACGACGUUUACACAAACACUGAUGGAAGGAGUCUCCAGUGUCGGUGCCUUGUAACAGGACUUCUCCCGGAUAGACGAGUUUACGCUUCUUCUUUGCGGUUUCUCGGUAACGUCUGUUUAUAGC
ensembl:lncRNA